UUCAGUUAAAAACAUUUCACCAAAAUUCAUCUAAAAUGAUUUUUUUAGACUACCUUUGAUGAUCCAUGGGACCUUAUGGAACAUGUUCAGGAUGUUCAUACGAUGAAUAUAUAUGAGCUGUCAGGACCAGAACAUGAUGACAACUAUAAUAACAUCACUGCUGUCAGUUGUAUCAACAACUUUAACAGCUGACUCUACUAGACAACUGUUAAUUAACAUCUUACAAAAGAGAUUAAGAUGCAAUCACAAAAUAAAUUUAAAAAAUAGAAAUAUGUUUUAAUUAAUUCCUGCAAUGACUGGAACAAAUAAAAAAUAUCUAAAUUGGUGCCAUCACUUUAACCUUUCUUUGAAGGCUAUUUUAUGUUAAAAAAACGUCU